AUACAUGCAAGUCGAACGAGGUCUUCGGACCUAGUGGCGCACGGGUGAGUAACAUGUGGGAAUCUACCUGAAGGUUCGGAAUAACUGCGGGAAACUGUAGCUAAUACCGGAUGUGUCUGCAAAGAGAAAGAUUUAUCGCCUUCAGAUGAGCCCGCACUAGAUUAGCUAGUUGGUGAGGUAACUGCUCCACCAAGGCUACGAUCUAUAGCUGAUUUGAGAGGAUGAUCAGCCACACUGGGACUGAGACACGGCCCAGACUCCUACGGGAGGCAGCAGUAGGGAAUAUUGGACAAUGGGGGAAACCCUGAUCCAGCAAUGCCGCGUGAGUGAAGAAGGCCUUCGGGUUGUAAAACUCUUUCAUCAAUGAUGAUAAUGACAUUAGUUGAAGAAGAAGCUCCGGCUAACUUCGUGCCAGCAGCCGCGGUAAUACGAAGGGGGCUAGCGUUGUUCGGAAUCACUGGGCGUAAAGCGUAUGUAGGCGGAUCAAAAAGUUAGAUGUGAAAUCCCUGGGCUCAACCCAGGAACUGCAUUUAAAACUAGUGAUCUAGAAUUUGGUAGGGGUUAGUAGAAUUUCCAGUGUAGAGGUGAAAUUCGUAGAUAUUGGAAAGAAUACCAGUGGCGAAGGCGACUAACUGGGCCAUUUUUGACGCUGAGAUACGAAAGCGUGGGUAGCAAACAGGAUUAGAUACCCUGGUAGUCCACGCAGUAAACGAUGAGUGCUAGUCGCUGGGACAAUAGUUUCAGUGUCGAAGCUAACGCAUUAAGCACUCCGCCUGGGAAGUACGGUCGCAAGAUUAAAACUCAAAUAAAUUGACGGGGGCCCGCACAAGCGGUGGAGCAUGU
rnacentral:rRNA from 1 species